AACAAACGCUGGCGGCGCGUUUUAAGCAUGCAAGUCGGACGGCAAGAGUUGUAGCAAUAUGACUCCUAGAGUGGCGAACGGGUGAGUAACACGUAGGUGAUCUACCUCUGGAUGGGGGAUAGUCCGUGGAAACACGGGGUAAUACCGCAUGAGGCCUUGUGGGUGGAGCCAUGAGGUGAAAGGUGCAAUUGCAUCGUCUGGGGAUGAGCCUGCGGUCCAUUAGGUAGUUGGCGGGGUAAGGGCCCACCAAGCCUACGAUGGAUAGCCGGCCUGAGAGGGUGUACGGCCACACUGGAACUGAGACACGGUCCAGACUCCUACGGGAGGCAG
rnacentral:rRNA from 1 species